rnacentral:lncRNA from 1 species
UUUCCCCACUGGAUGGUCUGGCACCAUUGUCAAGAAUGGUUUGACUAGCUAAUGCUUUUUUGCAGGUUUUUGUUGAAAUGUGGCUUCAUCACUAUUCGUUGGAGAUGUAUCAAAAAAUGCAGUCCCCUCAUGCCAAGCUGGAGGUUCUGCACUACCGACUCAGUGUCUCCAGCGCCCUCUACAGCCCCGCCCAACCCAGCCUCCAGGCCCUCCACGCCUACCAAGUACUGGCUCAUUCGUUCCCUUCCCCCUGCCCAGAGUGCAUGUCCAUGCCUGGCAAAGCAAGGGGCCGCCGGGGCCGGCUGCUGGUGACUCAGAGGCUAGUUCCAAGCAGAGCGUAGCCCCUGUGUCGGGGGGAGGCAGGGGUCAGCCUCCAGCCUGGCUUGGCCCCUGGCUUUGUAGACUAGUUUGGUUGGGGGUGGGGGUGGUGGCUUUGUGGCAGAACGAGGCAUGUGGGCAUGUGGCCCUGGCUGUCCAGGUUCCCGGCCAGUGGAGGUGUCACAAGCUCUCCAGUGUUGGAGGCCCCGUGCUUGGCCCUGGUUUGAAGAGCUGGAGUCCUCAGGCCUCAGCAGUGGCUGGGUUCACUGCACUCUGCAGGGUCUGGCGCUUAGGAAGGAGCUGAAGACGCAGAGGCCUGGGACUUACGGGUGGUGUGGGUUCUGCCUUGUUCAGAACUGUCACCCAGCCUGGAGGUGCUGUGACCCAGAGCCUGCGUGUGAGGCAGGGGGGUGGGAAGGACCUGGGGCUUGACCCUAUAGCCCACAGAAGCUGUCAGUCCUUGACAGCCCAGCCAGCACCCGGCCUUCAUCCGGGGAGCCCUGGCCACUCAUAUACACCUCCAGAGGCAGAUUAGAGUGGGUGGUGACCUCAUAGAGGUUGCAGCUGCCUAGGCAGAAAUGACAAGUGUGUGGAUGGAUUUGAGGUCAGUGAAGCAGAGUUCAGACCUGUAGGGAACUUCAGGGAUGACAGAGGAAUCUGUGAGAGCCGGGGGAGACGGGCUGUGCUCACAGCCAGUGAUCUGUCCCGUUCACCUGGGAAGGAGCACACAUGAUUGAACAGGAAUUUGAGCACAAGAUGAGAAAAUGUGUUGGCCCCUUAGCGCUGGUGGGCUGGAUGGCGGCCACAGCACACGGGGGCACCUCAUUCCGCAGGAGCCACUGCAGAGGAGAGGAGGAACCUGAGGGCUUGUGCCAGGGAGGGAGGACAGUGUCCAGAAAGCAUCUGGCAAACCCCAUGGUGGGAAGGUGACCAGCGAGACCCAGGUGGGGUGAGCUGAGGUGCUGUGAGUCUCAGCCCAGUGGGAAAUGUGCGGCUUUGGGGACACAUCCUUAAGAAGCAAGCAGGUGACUGUGACCAGGGACUCCAUGUGGGAACAUGGCCCAGGAGGGGUGCAGAGCUGAGGGAGAAGUUUGGCUCAGCAAACCUAUGGGAAAAUAGCCUGAGAGGGUUCCAUGUGACUGCCGGGGGCAGGGGUGGACAGUGGGCCCUCCAGACCCUUCAGAAGGACCAGGUGGUGUGGGGCAAGUGCACCAGCAGGGAAAGGCAGUUUUCCAGUUCCCAUGUGGAGGUCUUCCCCUCCCCUGAGCUGCAGGGAGGAUGUUACGGCUCAGAAUCCCAGGCCAGGAUUGGAGGGAGGGCCUGGGCUGAGACUGGAAGAGGAGAAAGAUCCUGGUCUAACUUCCCACCCCAC